UACGUAGGGAGCAAGCGUUGUUCGGAAUCAUUGGGCGUAAAGCGCGCGUAGGUGGCCCCGUAAGUCCGCUGUGAAAGUCAAAGGCUCAACCUUUGAAAGCCGGUGGAUACUGUGGGACUAGAGUACGGAAGAGGCGAGUGGAAUUCCUGGUGUAGCGGUGGAAUGCGCAGAUAUCAGGAGGAACACCAAUAGCGAAGGCAGCUCGCUGGGACGUUACUGACACUGAGGCGCGAAAGCGUGGGGAGCGAACAGG
rnacentral:rRNA from 1 species